rnacentral:rRNA from 1 species
UACGUAGGGUGCAAGCGUUGUCCGGAAUUAUUGGGCGUAAAGAGCUCGUAGGCGGUUUGUCGCGUCUGCCGUGAAAGUCCGGGGCUCAACUCCGGAUCUGCGGUGGGUACGGGCAGACUAGAGUGAUGUAGGGGAGACUGGAAUUCCUGGUGUAGCGGUGAAAUGCGCAGAUAUCAGGAGGAACACCAGUGGCGAAGGCGGCUUACUGGUCCAUAACUGACGCUGAGGUGCGAAAGCGUGGGGAGCAAACAGG